rnacentral:rRNA from 1 species
AUUGAACGCUGGCGGCAGGCUUAACACAUGCAAGUCGAACGAGUGGCGGACGGGUGAGUAAUGUAUGGGGAUCUGCCCGAUAGAGGGGGAUAACUACUGGAAACGGUGGCUAAUACCGCAUACUAUCGGAUGCACCCAUAUGGGAUUAGCUAGUUGGUGAGGUAAUGGCUCACCAAGGCGACGAUCCCUAGCUGGUCUGAGAGGAUGAUCAGCCACACUGGAACUGAGACACGGCCCAGACUCCUACGGGAGGCAGCAGUGGGGAAUAUUGCACAAUGGGCGCAAGCCUGAUGCAGCCAUGCCUCGUGUAUGAAGAAGGCCUUAGGGUUGUAAAGUACUUUCAGCGGGGAGGCGUUACCCGCAGAAGAAGCACCGGCUAACUCCGUGCCAGCAGCCGCGGUAAUAC